rnacentral:misc_RNA from 1 species
GAUGAAGAACGCAGCGAAAUGCGAUAAGUAAUGUGAAUUGCAGAAUUCAGUGAAUCAUCGAAUCUUUGAACGCACAUUGCGCCCCCUGGCAUUCCGGGGGGCAUGCCUGUUCGAGCGUCAUUACAACCCUCAAGCUCUGCUUGGUAUUGGGCUCUGCUGGGACCGGCAGGCCUUAAAAUCAGUGGCGGCGCCACUCGGCUUCAAGCGUAGUAAUUCUUCUCGCUUCGGAGACCCGGGUGCGUGCUAGCCAGAAACCCCCAACUUUCUUAGGUUGACCUCGGAUCAGGUAGGGAUACCCGCUGAACUUAAGCAUAUCAAUAAGCGGAGGA